CAAAAAGUAGUCAUUAUUUUUAUUUCACAGAUGAAGAAACUGCAGCUCAGAGUGGGAAAGGCCCAAUAGUUCGUAAGUCAGUGUUUUGCACUAUGAUCUGGAAGCAGAACUGUUGUCCACAAUAUGAGUGGUUGUGGAAGUCAGAAGACAGCGAGGAUGGAGUUGGACACCAAAAACGAUACCAAAGGGCCAGAGGGAGAAGGUGGUCAAGGCUUUGAAUGUCUCAGCCAAAGGCUGGCCAGGAUGAUGACGAGAACAGUCCAAGGCAGCUUCCACCUUCAGCUGCAUAGGAAACAACCUUGUAAAGUAUGUCUGUCGGAAAAGCACACAAUUAAACUAUACCAUCACCCAAUGUCCCUCUUGUUCCUCACAGGGCUGAUGCUAAGGACAUGAUCAGUCUU
rnacentral:lncRNA from 1 species